CCGAAAGCGGAAGGUUCCAAGCGCGCGCCGCAAUCGGAGGGGGCGGGGCCGGGGAGCAACGGCCGUCGGCUGAGGGAAAGUUCAGUCAACACUAAACCCUCGAAAGAGUGCCUCUGAGCGCGUGCAGAGUGCCUCGUUCGCCAUUACGGCCCCAGCCCACUGACAGAAAAGUGACACCACUUGAUCCUAUUUUAUUAAUGGAUCUUUAUUAAUGCAGGCAUAGUAUACAGUAUAUGGAGUUGGAAUUUUAAAGUUUUUCACAAGAUUAUCACCAGUUAUCUCAAGCAAAAAAGCUAAAUGGGAGGAACAAGAAGCAAGAGGCAGGCUCGCUGCCAAAAUGGACAGGGCUACUGCAGAUCUACUGAUGUCUAAUAGUGAAAGAGAGCUGGCCUGCUUCAAAAAUAGGACAGAGGGGAGUCUUUCAACAGGCCUGGAUAACAGAUCCACGGAAGUGUAAAAUAAAGCAACAAACAAACUCUGAUAAUAACUAGGCUCAGAUUGCUGAAACCAGAGCAGCUGGCAAGAUGGAUUAGGCUGAGCAAAGGUGGAACAUACCAAGAAUUAGGUUAGGCUAAGCCAGAAUAACUGGUUCAAGGAUGCCCAGGAGGUUUCAUAGCUGCAGGGGGAUUUGAACUUGUGCAUCAUUCUCAAGCCUCUGUCAUCUUGACCGCAUUGCAUUUCAGCUAUGGAUUGCUUAAGGGAAAAUGUCCUUUCCCUUUUUUGUUCUUCCAUAAAAUAUUUUUUCAUCUA